CUUGCUUCUUCCCUCGCAACAGGACGGACGCUCAGAGGCAGUAGUGCGGCGCACGCACAUCGACCAGGCGCCGCUUUUUGUGAGCCAAUGAACUGCCCCAUUGGGAAAAAAUACAACUGCCUCAUAAAGGCUGCUCACAGCUACAAGCAAUGUGUGUUUCAUCUCCAGGCUUGCCACGUAGCAUGGCAAAGUGUGUGCAGUGGCCUUUACUACACCGUCCGCUGUGGUAGCGCAGCCAACAGAUGCAUUUGUCAUUGCGAUCCUAAAUACUCAGGAUGAAAUACAACGGCUGAUUG
rnacentral:lncRNA from 1 species